rnacentral:rRNA from 1 species
GACGAACGCUGGCGGCGUGCUUAAUACAUGCAAGUCGAACGAUCCGCAAGGAUAGUGGCAAACGGGUGAGUAACACGUAAGUAACCUUCCCUCGAGACCAGCAUAACCUGCCGAAAGGCGGGCUAAUUCUGGAUGGCAUUUUCGGAAAGCAUUUUCUGAAAAUUAAAGUAGCAAUACACUUGAGGAUGGACUUGCGGCUUAUCAGCUAGUUGGUGAGGUAACGGCUCACCAAGGCUAUGACGAGUAGCUGGUCUGAGAGGACGAUCAGUCACACUGGAACUGAGAAACGGUCCAGACUCCUACGGGAGGCUG